UUCAAAAAGACUAUUGUGAAAGGAGAGGAAGACUUUGCAAUAGGGAGGACAAAGCUCCCGACCGUAAGAUCUAUGAGCAUCUCAAUGAUGAGGCAGAGGACUUUCGUUUUACGGGGAGGAGUAAACCAGAAGUGAGGAGUGGGAUGAGCAGGUGGCAUGAUCAGCCAGUUGAACAGGAAAUGUCUUUCUUCGAGGUCAGUGAUCCAGAGGGGUUGUUAAGGAGGACUCAUUCCACCUUCUAAUGCUUGCUUAACCUCUGCGGCCAAAGUUCUGUGCUCUGCGGGAAGGAGAGAAACCUGCCUGAAGUUUGCUCAGGGGUUCAGUCAGGGAAGAAGAACCAUGGUGAAGAUGAUGGAAAGAAGCCAUUCACUGUAGGAAUUAAACCUUACAAAACUGCUGGAGGUGGGGAAGUGAAAGUCUGGAAGGGAGUCAAGUCCGGGAGCUUGCAGGAAAAGCUGGGAAGCCGUGUGUGUCCAACCAGCAAUGUGGGCUCUGGAGCAGGAGCUAGUGGAAGCUAUUCCCUCUGCAUAACUUCCUCUCUGUAGAUCCACAGCCAAGCAUUUUCUGAGGAGCCCCAGGCUGCUACUGGACAUCAGGGCCAAAGAUUAGAAAGACCAGAUGGAUAGGGAGCUUUGAUCCAGUGUCCAUCACCAUAUGUGACUAUGGUGACCUUCUGAGAGUAAUAGCUGCUGUUUUACUUCUGACUUCCAAAUCUUAUACAAGUUCUCUUUUGGCCAACUCUAACCUGGAUUGGAAAAGAAAGCACAGUCCAGCCCAGCAUCCUCCUGAAACUCUUUAAAUAAAUAUGUAUAUAUGUGUACUCACAUACUUUGUUGAAAUGGAAUCACUUUGUUCAGAUUGUUAACCUCUUGCACCUGUCACUUCACAAAGUCUUUUGAGGUCAGUCAGUACAUAUCGUAUUCUAGACCAAACUACCUCUUUUUAGCUUUUGCAUCCCAUUAAGGUAGCAUUUUUCAAACCACUGGUGACAUCCCUCAGUGGUUCAUAAAAUUAACUAGUGUGUCAAAGGCACAAUCAAAAAGAAUAGAAUAGAAUAGAAAAUAGAAAAGUGCACCUCACUUUGUAAGGAUAACUUUUG
rnacentral:lncRNA from 1 species